rfam:Neotoma lepida isolate 417 scaffold_3620, whole genome shotgun sequence.
NGGAGAGUUGAUUUGUGCCAACACAAGGUAAGUUUACCAUGGGACAAGCAUUUAGUAAGCAGGAUUUAUUUAUCUCAGGACUUAAACAGUCUCUCAAGACACGAGAAACAAGGGUAAAAAAGAAAGAUUUAAGAAAGUUUCUUGAUUAUAUUGGGGACCUUUGUCCCU